rnacentral:ncRNA from 1 species
AUAUGGUAGUAACUCCAGGGUUUCUCCGCGAGGAGAAUGAAAAGGGAAUCCGGCGAAAAUCCGGAGCUGCCCCGCAGCGGUAAGCAGGUACGAACGCCGGGAUGACACUGGGGCACAUGCUCCGGGAAGUCCGGCAAGUAGGGUUGAACCUGCAGAGUCCGAAGACCUGCCAUGGAGACAUUCGCUCG